GUGUUGCAUGAAAGGAGAUAAGGUUAGCACUCCCCUUGACAAGGAUGGAAGAGGUCCUAGUGGCCUUACAACACAUACAUGGUUAAGGCACUGCCACCUACUUCGUGGCAUUUUUUGUAAAGCUGCUUUGU
ensembl:snRNA U6atac minor spliceosomal RNA